rnacentral:tmRNA from 1 species
GGGGCUGAUCGGUUUCGACUCCGUACGUUGACGUGAGGGAAGCGGGUCGAGGAAGCCAACGCCGUCUCGUAAACCGAUGUUGGAAACCAAUAAGUGCCAACGCAAAGCAACGCACUGACUUCGCCCUCGCUGCCUAAGCGAGCGUGAAGUUUGCCGCUCCAGGGGCGCAUCCGCCCUGGACCAGCGGCAUCAUCUGAGGAUGCUGUGGCCGUCGUCUUGAUCGCUGGGACGCCGUCCGAGACUUUCGGCGAUUAGAGCCCGUCGCACCGACUCGUCCGCGUGAUCGGUGGGGCUCGAUAAAAGGCACAGCGGACUGCACCCGGAGAAGCCUCACGAAGGCCGCGGAGGACCAGGGUUCGAUUCCCUGCAGCUCCACCG